rnacentral:lncRNA from 1 species
AUUUACCUCACCAGUUCACAAAUCAUUACCUGGUUCUAGAUUUCGCAAUCAUUCAGUGGAAACACGGUCAAUAGAGAGCAUGAACUCAGCACCAACUUCAAGCAGUACAUCGAAUACUAAACCUGAUGACAUAGAUGGUGAUUAUUUGGGAAUUCUUCUGGAGCAGAAAUUGAGAGAAUUGACCUCUCGGGUAAAGUCACCCUAUUCUAAGCCAGCCAAUGGGGUUCGAGUAUACGCCCCUUCACCAGGUUCGGAAGAUACAUCUAGCAUUGCAUCUACUGAGUAUGAUAGGGAGUCGUCUCAGCCUUUCAAGAACGGAAAAAACAAAUUCCACCAGAACGAUCUUGAAUCCAAACACGGUCAAUAGAGAGCAUGAACUCAGCACCAACUUCAAGCAGUACAUCGAAUACUAAACCUGAUGACAUAGAUGGUGAUUAUUUGGGAAUUCUUCUGGAGCAGAAAUUGAGAGAAUUGACCUCUCGGGUAAAGUCACCCUAUUCUAAGCCAGCCAAUGGGGUUCGAGUAUACGCCCCUUCACCAG